rnacentral:rRNA from 1 species
GAUGAACGCUGGCGGCGUGCCUAAUACAUGCAAGUCGAGCGAACAGACGAGGAGCUUGCUCCUCUGACGUUAGCGGCGGACGGGUGAGUAACACGUGGAUAACCUACCUAUAAGACUGGGAUAACUUCGGGAAACCGGAGCUAAUACCGGAUAAUAUAUUGAACCGCAUGGUUCAAUAGUGAAAGACGGUUUUGCUGUCACUUAAAGAUGGAUCCGCGCCGCAUUAGCUAGUUGGUAAGGUAACGGCUUACCAAGGCAACGAUGCGUAGCCGACCUGAGAGGGUGAUCGGCCACACUGGAACUGAGACACGGUCCAGACUCCUACGGGAGGCAGCAGUAGGGAAUCUCCCGCAAUGGGCGAAAGCCUGACGGAGCAACGCCGCGUGAGUGAUGAAGGUCUUCGGAUCGUAAAACUCUGUUAUUAGGGAAGAACAAAUGUGUAAGUAACUAUGCACGUCUUGACGGUACCUAAUCAGAAAGCCACGGCUAACUACGUG